UUUCAUGCAGUCUGCUACGACUGUUAAUGUCAUUUAGUAGCGAAACAUUGCAGUUAUCGAAACUACUU